rnacentral:rRNA from 1 species
AACGAACGCUGGCGGCGCGCCUAAUACAUGCAAGUCGAGCGAGAAGGUGUAGCAAUACACUUGUAAAGCGGCGAACGGGUGAGGAAUGCAUGGGUAACCUACCCUCGAGUGGGGAAUAACUAGCCGAAAGGUUAGCUAAUACCGCAUACGUUUCCGGAACUUCGGUUUCGGAAAGAAAGCAAUACCGUGGGUAUUGCGCUCCUGGAUGGGCUCAUGUCCUAUCAGCUUGUUGGUGAGGUAACGGCUCACCAAGGCUUCGACGGGUAGCUGGUCUGAGAGGACGAUCAGCCACACUGGCACUGCGACACGGGCCAGACUCCUACGGGAGGCAGCAGUAAGGAUAUUGCGCAAUGGACGAAAGUCUGACGCAGCGACGCCGCGUGGGGGAUGAAGGUCUUCGGAUUGUAAACCCCUUUCGGGAGGGAAGAUGGAGUGGGUAACCACUUGGACGGUACCUCCAGAAGCAGCCACGGCUAACUUCGUGCCAGCAGCCGCGGUAA